rnacentral:ribozyme from 1 species
CUAGAACGACAGGCUGGCACCUUCUCGUGGUGUUCUAGGUCAGUAGCCGGGGAUCAUAUGGUGGUUCCUGGCGAAGCUAAGACCAGC